CCUACGGGCGGCAGCAGUGAGGAAUAUUGGUCAAUGGGCGCAAGCCUGAACCAGCCAAGUCGCGUGAGGGAUGACGGUCCUAUGGAUUGUAAACCUCUUUUGUCGGGGAGCAAGGCCCGCCACGUGUGGCGGGAAGGAGAGUACCCGAAGAAAAAGCAUCGGCUAACUCCGUGCCAGCAGCCGCGGUAAUACGGAGGAUGUGAGCGUUAUCCGGAUUUAUUGGGGUUAAAGGGUGCGUAGGCGGAAGGUUAAGUCAGCGGUAAAAUGUCGGUGCUCAACACCGGCCUGCCGUUGAAACUGGUCUUCUUGAGUGAGCGAGAAGUAUGCGGAAUGCGUGGUGUAGCGGUGAAAUGCAUAGAUAUCACGCAGAACUCCGAUUGCGAAGGCAGCAUACCGGCGCUCAACGGACGCUGAGGCACGAAAGCGUGGGGAUCGAACAGGAUUAGAUACCCUUGUAGUC
rnacentral:rRNA from 1 species